GGGGGGCAUCCUAAGUCACUGAGCUAACCUUCGGGAAGCAGGUGCCUAAGGUAUGGGGGAUGAUUGGGGUGAAGUCGUAACAAGGUAGCUGUAGGUGAACCUGCAGAAGGAUCA
rnacentral:rRNA from 1 species